UGAGUAGUUAUUAUAUUGUUAACAUGCUAAUGUAAAUAUCAAAUAAAUGUUUUGAAUUCAUUUCUUCCAAUAAUAUACUUUGAAUUUUUCCCAUAAAUGUCAAAAAUGCAAAACUAUAAGGUAAUUUUUUGAAGUUAUUCCUAAGAAUGCCACAUCAGCAUUCCAGUAACAGGAGUAGGAGAUGAUCAACUAAUGGAGCAAACCUCAG
rnacentral:misc_RNA from 1 species